GGCUUAGAGUUUGAUCCUGGCUCAGAUUGAACGCUGGCGGAAUGCUUUACACAUGCAAGUCGAACGGCAGCACGGGGGCAACCCUGGUGGCGAGUGGCGAACGGGUGAGUAAUACAUCGGAACGUGCCCAGUCGUGGGGGAUAACGUAGCGAAAGCUACGCUAAUACCGCAUACGAUCUGUGGAUGAAAGCGGGGGACCGUAAGGCCUCGCGCGAUUGGAGCGGCCGAUGGCAGAUUAGGUAGUUGGUGGGGUAAAGGCCUACCAAGCCGACG
rnacentral:rRNA from 1 species